UUCCUCAACAGCAGCUGCAGGCAGCAACCCUACUGCUGGGACAGCCCCAGAACCCUCCCAGCAGCUGCAGGCUGUGACCCUAAUGAAAAGCAGCAGCACCACACAGCAACCCUAACAGCGAGAGCACACCGGAACGCUCCCGCUGGGACAAGGCAGCGACCCUCACACCAGGACAACGGCAGAACCCUCAGAGGACAACAGGACCCCCUGGAAAAAGUGUGGCGUGCCGGGUGACUUCUUCGUCCGCUAGCAAGUUGGGAAGGGCAGCGGACGUGGCGUUGGCCUGCUUACUGAGCCAACACUCGAGGUGAGAAAGCUCACCGAGGGCCUUUGCUGCGGCAUACCAUGGUAAAAAUAUGGAUACCGUGACUCUCUUCGUCUUUCCCCAAUUGUAAAUUUUUGAAUCACAAUUUUCGUCAAAUUGGUUAUAGGAUCUCUUUUUGCGAGCCAAUUUAUUUUCGUUUUUCCAAUUUAAAAUUUGGGUUUUGUUCGGUGUCAGUGUGGUAAGCUGCCCAAGGCUGCAGGGGCCUCCCUGGAUUUGGGAGGGAAUCCCUGCCCAUACCCUGUGGCCGCAGAUGAGAAAAACCCCCCUGCGGAGCACCCUGGGAACUGAGGAGGACCUAGAUACCAUGGUCGAGGUGUAAUUGCACCAAUUUGCUGCAUGGUAUCUCCGAUUGUGGGGAGAUACAUCGUGUCUUUUUACUUCUUGGGUACCAGCGGGGUGGAGUUUAGCCAUUUGAUCCCAGUCUUUCUGGGAGGGCUGGUACCUAAGCCUGACACAAUAUGUUGCCUGAGAGGAGCCCAAUAGGUCCAAUUCUCGGGGCUCC